rnacentral:rRNA from 1 species
UGGGGAAUCUUGCACAAUGGGCGAAAGCCUGAUCCAGCCAUGCCGCGUGAGUGAUGAAGGCCUUAGGGUUGUAAAGCUCUUUUAGCAGGGAAGAUAAUGACGGUACCUGCAGAAAAAGCCCCGGCUAACUUCGUGCCAGCAGCCGCGGUAAAACGUAGGAGGCGAGCGCUAUCCGGAUUUACUGGGUGUAAAGCGCGUGCAGGCGGUUUAGCAAGUCGUGCGUGAAAGCGCCCGGCUCAACCGGGCGAGGUCGUGCGAAACUGCUUAACUUGAGGUAGGUAGAGGCGUGUGGAAUUCCGGGUGUAGUGGUGAAAUGCGUAGAGAUCCGGAGGAACACCGGUGGCGAAGGCGACACGCUGGGCCUGACCUGACGCUCAGACGCGAAAGCAUGGGUAGCGAACG